GUACCUGCAAAUUCAUUCUAGUUGUAUCAUUUCACUUUUCUAAGAUGAUAAUUCAUCUAAUAUUUAUCAAACGAGAAACACAUAUAAUCCAUUAACAUAUAUGCAUAAAUACUAGGUGUUUUGACUCUCCUGAAAUAUCACUUAAACACACAAAUAAAUAUCCUUUCAAUCCCAUUAUAAAGAAGACGUGCGUAUCUAUUGACUUCAAACAUCAAUGAAGUUAUAUAGUUAUUAUUAUACUGUUCAUAAAUA
rnacentral:lncRNA from 1 species